rnacentral:lncRNA from 1 species
AAUGGAACCUAUUAUAAUAUUAUAAUAAAGCAUAAUCCAAAUAUACAACUAGUAUUAUCAAUAAAUAAAAGAAAAAUAGAUAUUAUUGUUUAAUAGUUCAAGAGUUAGCAUACAUAAGUUUGCAAAAAAAUUAAAUAUCAAAGGUUCCUACAAUAUUUGAAGGUCUAGCAACGAUCAACCAAUACUGUUAUAAGGUCUUCGCAGCUUUGUUCUUCAGUUUGUUCAUUUGCUUCACCUACAAAUUCAACAAGCACAACAAUAUUCAGCAAGUAUGAAUAAGAAAAAGAAAACACUUUCUCAAUGUCUUUUUACUUUUUUUAGAAGGCAACAGAUUCCAAUAUAUUGAUAGAAGAUGUUCAAUUAAUAUUAACACUAGAAAAACCAUCAGACAUAUUAUUCAAUUAUCCAGCACACUUAUUCAUAAUGUCACCCACAAAAUUAUAAAGUCAAAGACACUAAGUUUGAUGUUCGGGUUUAAGACACUAAUUCAAUGGUUAAACAAUUUGUAGAGUCAUAAAUCAAAUCUUUGUCAACCAAUGAAAGAAAUUUCUUUGCAUAUGGUAAAAUAAAUUAAGACUGUCAAUAGCUAUUAGCAUUUAAUUUCAUACUAAAUAAUGUUAGUACUAUAUUAACAUGUAGCAGAACUACUAUAGCCAAAUAAAUGUAUUCAUAGAAGGUAAUUUGGCAAUUAUAAAUAAAUAUAAUGUAGUACCAUACAACAAUUGAUAACCCUUCCAUUCAGCAAUUCUUGCUACCAAGUGUAUUCAUAAAGAAUUUCAAAUGUGUCCUUCAAGACUCUUCCAUUGGUGAAACACACAUACUACAAAACCAACAAAGAGAUACCAGUGACCUAGUCUCAGACAUCAACUUUUUUUUCUUCUUUUUUUGUAGUUUUUCUUUUACUUCAAUUUUUUUAUCAUCAUAGAAGCUCAAUAAAGAAUCUACAAAAAUUCUUGUGGUGAUAUUUCAACUCAAUACCUAUUGUUCUUCCUCUAUUGUUCUUCAUUUAAAAUAAAAGAAAGCAAAAAAAGUGUCUAGUCUUAAAUUAUCUUCUUUAUUCCCAACCAUGGAAACACACAAUUGUGAAUAUUUAAACACAAAUCUUUAUGAAAAGGGAUAAAUCAAAACUCCUUAUAUUCCAUUAUAGUUCUUGAGUCGGGGUACAUUUCUCAUCUCUUUGUUACUAACAAAGAUUUCUUUUUUUCAACUUUUGAUGAUUAUACUAUGUAUACAACUUCUUUGAAACUUAUAUGUUAAUCCAAAAGAAAAAAGAUGAGUACAUGAGCUAUUAAUACACUACAUAAUCUUUAAUUUUUGAUUAAGCUGCAUCAACAAGUAAAACACCUCCAAAACCAGACUAAAAAUCUUACCAUUAGUUCUCUAUUGAAGAUCUGGUUUGUUCAUGUGCGAUAAAUGACAAACAUUAUUCAAUCUUUUGGCAGUCGUGAAAAAAGUGCAAACAUUAUAGAAUUAGCAAAUUAUAUUGUGGUUUUGCACAGUAAAAGGAACACAAUAAUGUAAGGUACUUCAGAGAUAUAUUUUUGAAGCUGCAUAUAUGGAAGUUAAAACGAAAGUUGAGAUGAACUGUGAACAAAUAACAUUCGACAUUUUAAAUCAUACAAGUCCAUUUAUUUGUGGAAAAGGUCUAAAAAUGCCACUCAAUUUUCAGAAAUGGUCUACCCAUGUCAUCCGUUAAACAAAUGCUCAUUUCAUGCCACUGCCGUUACACAUUUGGCUCAUCCAUGCCAUUAUUGUUUAACGGCCCAAUUUUUAUUUGGCCCAUCCAUGCCACUGUUGUUAGUCAAUAAUGGCAUGAAUGGGCCAAACGUGUAAGGACAAUGGCAUGAAAUGAGCAUUUUUUGACGGAUGACAUUGAUAAACCAUUUCUGAAAGAUUAGUGGUAUUUUUAGGCCUUUUCCGUUGAUUUUAUCAGGAAAAUUAGAGAAUGGAGAAGCCCGGCUAUAUCAUAAAUAUAUAAUUUCAGAUCCCUGAUACCUCAUACGAAAAAAUAGAUUGAACAAGAAAGUGCUUAAUCAUUAGCUUAUCCACAAGCAAUUAAAGACCCAAUGACACCUACAUACAUUAUCUGAUUUUCACAUUCAACUAUCCUUCAACAACAAUCUAUGGAUUGAUAAAAAAUUCAUGUAUAUUAAAUAAUUAUUGGGGGUAGCCUGGGCUUCGCCCGGCCCGACGUAAAUAAAGUCGUGUUGUUUCAUUAUAUAGUAUGCUACUUUUAUUAUAACUAUAACAUUCAGUGAAGAAUUGUCUCAAGUUAUAUUACUGUUAAAUUUUAAGAAGACUAUAACAUCCAUGUAGUAGGUAACUGAACAAUAAGAAGUAGGAGAAUGCGCAAACAAUUCAUUCGAGACAAGAACGUGCAUUUCAUUAAUGUUGGCAUAGUUCAAAGAUAACCGAAUCAAUUUUGAGGAUUUCUCCCAUAAUAAUAUCAGAGUACACAUGAAGUUUCUGCCCUUUAAGUGCACAAAAUUAGUUACAGCCUAAUCCAGUAUGUAUAUCAACUCUAAUGAUAUUUGAGUUCACAAGAAAAAGCUAUAUUGCUAAGCGAAUAACGUCAGAUUUCACAUAAAUGAGAAAGAGAAUAAAUGUUGAUAUUUUUUAGGUACCCCAACUAACAUUUAGCAUUGUCAAAAGAAAAGACAUUACUUUGAAACUAAGAAAAGUAAUAAGCGAUAAGUAUGGCAUCCAAAGUUAGCAGACUGUACCACAGAAGAUAGCAAGCUAGGUAUACAAGGAUAAUAAGUUGAACUCGCUGAAAGUUAGGACUUGCCUCAGACUGGCGUAGAUGUUCCACAAAAAUGGAUGAAGAAUAUAAUAACUUAUAUUUGUCAUGUGAACAACUUCUUCGCCUGAAAAAUCAAAUUUAACAUAGUUAUAAGCCAAGACAGAGAUAAAUAUUUGUUAGUGACAAGGAGUGAAGGAUUAUAAUAGACAAUAAACCCUCCUCCUUUGUCUGGGCUCGCCACCAAUUAUGUUGCAGUAUAACUCAAAUGCAGGUGGAGUUAAAAUUGAACAUUUCAAUGUAUCUAAAUGUAAUAUAUCCCCAUAUUUUGAAGCUAAAGAUAGUAAUGUUUUUUAUCAAUUGCACAAGCGGAGUACCUAUGGGAAAGCAUUCUGAAUAAUUUGAUCAUAGACUACAUUAUACAAGUCUUGGUUUACCUUGCAAUGGUAUUUAUGCAAUCAGGAUGGUAUUUUGAUCUUACUAUCAGCUAACCUACCGAAGUUUAAUAAUUUCAAUAUUGAAUAUACAGAAUGCUACUUAAUUUGCAACUCUGUUAAGGCAUAUCAGCUAUUAAUAAGAUGUUGAUAAAAAAAAGAUCUCUUAAGUCAGGUUGAGAAUCUUGAAGACUUGGAGCAAGUAUAUGACUGUAACAUGUGAGUAUACUUUUACCUAAUAAAUGAUUAUAAGGAAUGUAUCUAUCAAAGUAAUAUUUCACCUAAUUGUCUAUUAUGGAUAUUGUUUAUUUUUCUUUAACUGAAGAAGUCUUUGCACUAUGUGGAAAGCAUCCCCAAGCUGUACUUCAACCAUUCAUACUGCCUACCUCUGUCGACAAAAAAAUCUUACCAGUCCAUGGUGGUCUCAUUUUAUAAGUUGUUCAUAUUUGGGUGCUUAUUCAUCUUUCUUUAUCACAAUAAUCUCACUCAUUCCCCUUCCACAACUUCUUGGAUGGAUUUCAUGAAUCCGCAAAGCAAAAUAUAAAUUGUAUGAAGAAGAUUAUGCAUACAACAUAAUAUGUAAGAGAUUUUCUAUCACUCUGCAAAAGCUAAAAGUAUUUUAUAAGAUACAGGGCAUGCUAAAAAUUUGCUCUCUUAUUUUGAAUGGAACUCCAUGAAAAUUCGUGAAAGCAAGUCUUAUAUAAUUUCUAAGUUGUAGCAACUAUUAUUUGUUAUUUGAUGCUGAUGGGUUGGCUAGCACUUUUGGUCAUGAAAAGUAAUAUUUUUAUGCAUAUGCUCUAAAUAUAGCACGUCUACUUUCUUAGUUCCACCAAGGAAAUAACUGUCCAUGGAUUGUGGGUAUGAAAUGAAGUUAAAUCUAGAGGAAAUCGGAGGGAGAUGAAGCAAUGCAACAGGAUGAAAAAAAAUCUAAAACAGCAACUUGAAAUUACCCUGAAAUCAUUUUCUAAACAUCAGUAGUCCACCAUCACAAUAGCUUAGUAGAAAUUCUAAAUACAAGAUGCCUAAAGCAAUUUAAUAAUAAUUUCGAUACCUCUACAUUUUGAAGAGCUUCGCAAACUUAGUACUAUCAAAUUUUAUCAGUGGAGGCAAACACGGACUUAGAUGCAUCGUGUGGAAGCUGACCUCAGAUAGCUAAUCAACAGCGAAAGAAAACCAAACAUCAAUAGGUACAGAAAACUGAAACAGUAACUCAAGAAUGUAGAGAUGAAAACGUAGGCUGAGAGAUACUUCAACCUCUAUGUAACGCUAUAAAGUUAGUUUUUACAGCACCACCCUUGUCAAAAUGGAACCAAAAAAUAAUAUCAGAGAAUAGAAAAGAUAGCGAGAUUCAUAAGAAAUGCAAUCCCAAUUCAUUUGAGAAUUUUCUCGAACACCUAGAGAACAAAAGCUAUUGGCAUUUUAAAAUUUGAAUACAUAGAAACCCAUAAUUAGAGAAAGAAUCAACCAACUUUUAGCAAGAAAAAGAAACAUGAGGACUUCAUUUUGUGCAUACUGACAAAAUCCUUUUGAUACUUGAACGCAAGAUGAAGGGAAAAAUGUAUGGACAUGAUAAAUUUCGAGAAAUUUGUUAGCAUCUAGUGCAUAUUUGUGUCCAUUCUAUAUUUAAUUGAUGAUUAGGCAGGAUCCCACUAAUUAAACUCCUAAUUUACAUUUUGGAUGCGUAAAAUUUACUCACAAUUUGUCGUUAUUUACUUUCUAUGAUUAUACUUUACCAUUUAUAUCACUGUAAUUCAAAGAAUUCUAUAUCACAGUGACAUAACAAUCAGCUAAGUUCACAGCAAAAGCCAAUCAAUAGAACCAUUAUCCCAUAAAGUCCAAACUCCACUGAAGGAAAUAAAUUAAAUUAUACAAAUCACGAUUUGAGCAACAACACACAUCAUCAGGCAUCUCAAAAGUCCAAAUACUUCAAAUCAUAUAUUGCAACAAAAGAGAUUUGAACUUACUAGCAAGAGCUGAGACAAAAUGAUAGCCGACCAGGGAAUUGCAGGUAAUAGCUUAGAAUCCAAAAAUGCCCUAUUUCGGAUGAGAAAUACAUAGAAACAAAACAUAAGCAUAUAUAGAAAUACCUUCAAUAAGUAAUUACUUUGCCUCUUCGUCUUCUUCUUCGUUCUUGUUCUAUUCAGAUCCAUAAAGCCGCUUCAUUGGUAGGCUUUGAGGAGAUAAAAUGGUUCGAAUAUAGUAAGAACCAGUUAGGGUUUUGUAUGUUAUGUUUGAUUGCAAAAUUGAGUGGUAGGUGAGUGAGAGAAACAGAAAGGUAAGGGUGUCAAUUAGCUUUUUGAUGGACUUAAAUCCUAGUUAUUUUUGUUGAUGUGAGGGACAAGGGAAUGAAAGAUUAAAGGAGGAAUACGAAAAUAAGCGAGGGAAUAGAUAAUUUUUACCAAAUACUAAUAUAUGGGACGGCUACAAACACUGUUGCAUUAAACAUACCUAUUGUGACGGUUUCUUUUUAUGAUGCAACGGAUCUCAACCAAAGUGUUCCAUUAGAGCC